rnacentral:rRNA from 1 species
AUUGAACGCUGGCGGAAUGCCUUACACAUGCAAGUCGAACGGCAGCACGGACUUCGGUCUGGUGGUGAGUGGCGAACGGGUGAGUAAUGUAUCGGAACGUGCCCAGUCGUGGGGGAUAACGUAGUGAAAAUUACGCUAAUACCGCAUACGAGCUAUGGAUGAAAGCGGGGGAUCGCAAGACCUCGCGCGAUUGGAGCGGCCGAUAUCAGAUUAGGUAGUUGGUGGGGUAAAGGCCCACCAAGCAAACGAUCUGUAGCUGGUCUGAGAGGACGACCAGCCACACUGGAACUGAGACACGGUCCAGACUCCUACGGGAGGCAGCAGUGGGGAAUUUUGGACAAUGGGCGAAAGCCUGAUCCAGCCAUUCCGCGUGCAGGAUGAAGGCCCUCGGGUUGUAAACUGCUUUUGUACAGAACGAAAAGGUUUCUACUAAUACUAGGAGCUCAUGACGGUACUGUAAGAAUAAGCACCGGCUAACUACGUGCCAGCCGCCGCAGUAA